GAUGAACGCUGGCGGCGUGCCUAAUACAUGCAAGUCGAGCGAACGGACGAGAAGCUUGCUUCUCUGAUGUUAGCGGCGGACGGGUGAGUAACACGUGGAUAACCUACCUAUAAGACUGGGAUAACUUCGGGAAACCGGAGCUAAUACCGGAUAAUAUUUUGAACCGCAUGGUUCAAAAGUGAAAGACGGUCUUGCUGUCACUUAUAGAUGGAUCCGCGCUGCAUUAGCUAGUUGGUAAGGUAACGGCUUACCAAGGCAACGAUGCAUAGCCGACCUGAGAGGUUGAUCGGCCACACGGGAACUAGGACACGGUCCAGACUCCUACGGGAUGCAGCAGUAGGGAAUCUUCCGCAAUGGGCGAAAGCCUGACGGAGCAACGCCGCGUGAGUGAUGAAGGUCUUCGGAUCGUAAAACUCUGUUAUUAGGGAAGAACAUAUGUGUAAGUAACUGUGCACAUCUUGACGGUACCUAAUCAGAAAGCCACGGCUAACUACGUG
rnacentral:rRNA from 1 species